GCCGGGCUCGGUGGCACGUGCCUAUAGUCCCAGCUACUUGGGAGGCUGAGGCUGGAGGAUCUCUUGAGUCCAGGGGUUCUGGGCUGUAGUGCACUAUGCCAGUCGGGUGUCUGCACUAAGUUCGGCAUCAAUAUGGUGGCCUCCCGGGAGUGGGGGACCACCAGGUUGCCUAAGGAGGGGUGAACCGGCCCAGGUCAGAAAUGGAGCGGGUCAAAACUCCCAUGCUGAUCAGUAGUGGGAUCCCACCUGUGAAUAGCCACUGCACUCCAGCCUGGGCAACAUAGCAAGAUCCCGUUUCU
rnacentral:SRP_RNA from 1 species